rnacentral:rRNA from 1 species
GUGGGGAGCAAACAGGAUUAGAUACCCUGGUAGUCCACGCCGUAAACGAUGAGUGCUAGGUGUCGGGGAGGAAUCCUCGGUGCCGCAGCUAACGCAAUAAGCACUCCACCUGGGGAGUACGACCGCAAGGUUGAAACUCAAAGGAAUUGACGGGGGCCCGCACAAGCGGUGGAGCAUGUGGUUUAAUUCGAAGCAACGCGAAGAACCUUACCAAGGCUUGACAUCCCGAUGACCGCUCUAGAGAUAGAGUUUCUCUUCGGAGCAUCGGUGACAGGUGGUGCAUGGUUGUCGUCAGCUCGUGUCGUGAGAUGUUGGGUUAAGUCCCGCAACGAGCGCAACCCUUAUCCUUAGUAGCCAUCAUUGAGUUGGGCACUCUAGGGAGACUGCCGUGGAUAACACGGAGGAAGGUGGGGAUGACGUCAAAUCAUCAUGCCCCUUAUGUCUUGGGCUACACACGUGCUACAAUGGCUGGUAACAGAGUGAAGCGAGACGGCGACGUUAAGCAAAUCACAAAAACCCAGUCCCAGUUCGGAUUGUAGUCUGCAACUCGACUACAUGAAGCUGGAAUCGCUAGUAAUCGCGAAUCAGAAUGUCGCGGUGAAUACGUUCCCGGGCCUUGUACACACCGCCCGUCACACCAUGGGAGUUGGAAGCACC